rnacentral:lncRNA from 1 species
GGGUUUUUUGGCUUUUUCUCCAUGAUCACCAGGACUUUUGUAUUUCUUUUUCUUCUUGGAAGGCACUGGUGAUGUGUAAGUGUAGGUGUCCUCUAUUUCCUCCAUGACCACAGUUACUUCAGUGCCAUCAUAUGGAGCCUCCAUUGCGGGCAGCACCGGGACGCAGCCGCGGUCACAUCCCAGCCGGGGUGCAGCGGCGCGGGGCGGGAAGCGGCGGAGCUGGGGGCCGGGAUGGGGGCGGGGAGGGCAGGCCGCGCAUGCUGUGCCGGCCGCGGGGGCAGCAGCACCGCUCCGGACCCGUGGCUCCGCGGCCGCCCGGCGCCGCCGGAAGUGUUCACAGGAACUGCUUCCGGGUCGUGGCGGGGCGGGGCCGCGGGGGUCUAUAGAUGGUGCCUGGAGGGGGUUUUCUGUCGGUUCUUCUUGUGGAGGUGUCUGCUGUGAUGGGUAGUGGUGGCACUGAGGAAGGAAAGGGGCUGGGGCGCCCAAAGCUGGCAUCAAACCUCAUCGUAGCUCGGCUCUGCCUGGUGUCCCUCGGUCACGCCCGGCGGGGAGCCCCGGCUGGGGGUGUGUGAGGGUCUGAGCGGGGCCAGGCGAGGAAGAGCUGGGGGAAGAAGAUUGUGCUAGGCGAAAUGACAACAGGGCAGAGUGUGAGAGCCACGGGAGCCCCAUCUCAUAGCAGCUUUCCUGUCACAAAACGCAGUGUCACUCUGGGGGCAGCCACCCCUCCAACUGCCUGUGGGAUCUGUGGGUCCCAGCAUUUCUUUACCAGUGUUUCUCCUUCAGAUCUGAAGUGGAGGCAUUGCUGUGCACAGCAAAGUAAUCGUCUCCUUGCUUUGCAUGAGCGCUGAAAGAUAAGCAUCUGGCUCCCCAGGGAACAAAUAGCCUUAUAGGGCUAUAAGCACUCACCCUCUUCUUCCAACCAUUGGGAAAGCGAGAUAUUAUGGGAUACCUCAAUUCAGCUCCUGGCUCCACAGCUAUCACGCAGCUAUUGUUCUAACACAUUUGUUAAAUUAUGCAUUCUGUGUUUUCUUUUUUUCUGUGCGUGUCUAUUUCUGUGUUUUACAUCAUGCGUUCUAACUUUAGAGAAAUGUAAACCACAUCUAUCUUCUGUCUCAGAUCUCGGAGAAUAAGGGCUCCUCUUGUCUAGUAAGUCAUUAGUAAAGCCCACAAAGUAGUGAUACGACAGCCAGAAUUAAAUCUGCAACUGGUUAUUUAUCUUCCUGAUGUUCUGCAACCAUUUAUGUGGUCUGCUCGUGUUUAUGUGUGAUAAUUGGUGGCAAACGGUCUGUUCUGUGUCAAACAUUGGGCAGCUUAAUCCAAACCGGUUCUUUCCCGAAGCUCUGUACUUUUAUCCAGAUCAAUAAGCGGCCGGUAGAGCUUCGUUGGAAUUAUUACCUAGCCAAAUAUUUGAAAGAAAAGGCCGCCCGGCUUCACAAGACUAAUGAACUGAAAAAAAAACCAAGAGGAAAAGUGUGAAGGAAAGCAGCCAUGCUUCCCUUGUUUUUCGCAGAGGAGCUUCUCACUGUGUGUGUGUG